rnacentral:misc_RNA from 1 species
GAUGAAGAACGUAGCGAAAUGCGAUACUUGGUGUGAAUUGCAGAAUCCCGUGAACCAUCGAGUCUUUGAACGCAAGUUGCGCCCGAAGCCAUUAGGCCGAGGGCACGCCUGCCUGGGCGUCACACGUCGUUGCCCCCCCAUCUACUCCUUCGGGAUUGCGGGGGGCGGAUGAUGGCCUCCCGUGCGCCUCGUCGCGCGGUUGGCCUAAAUGCCAAGUCCUCGGCGACGCACGCCACGACAAUCGGUGGUUGCGAAACCUCGGUUGCCCGUCGUGUGCGGUCGUCGCGCAUCGAGGGCUCGAAAAAAUUGCCGGGCUUCGGCUCGACUUUCAACGCGACCCCAGGUCAGGCGGGGUUACCCGCUGAAUUUAAGCAUAUAAAUAAGCGGAGGA